AGGACGAACGCUGGCGGCGUGCCUAACACAUGCAAGUCGAACGAGGUCCAUCCAGUGGCAACACUGGUGAAGACCUAGUGGCGAACGGGUGAGUAACACGUGAGGAACCUGCCCCGAAGACCGGGAUAACUCUCCGAAAGGAGAGCUAAUACCGGAUACCCCCAACUGAUCGCAUGGUCGGAUGAGGAAAUGGAUUCCGCUUCGGGAGGGCCUCGCGGCCUAUCAGCUAGUUGGUGAGGUAACGGCUCACCAAGGCAUCGACGGGUAGCUGGUCUGAGAGGACGAUCAGCCACACUGGAACUGAGACACGGCCCAGACUCCUACGGGAGGCAGCAGUGGGGAAUAUUGCACAAUGGGCGCAAGCCUGAUGCAGCAACGCCGCGUGAGGGACGACGGCCUCGGUUGUAACCUCUUUAGUAGGGAGAAGCGAAGUGACGGUACCUGCAGAAAAGCACCGGCUAACUACGUGCAGCAGCCGCGGUA
rnacentral:rRNA from 1 species